rnacentral:lncRNA from 1 species
CGGCGACGUCGGCAACGGCUCCCAAUGCAAAGUCUAUGGACAGCCGCGACCUGGCGACCGCCGGCUGCCUGCGACGCGACCUGACGCGACUUGGCGAAACAAGGAGGAGGAGGAGAAGAAGAAUCACAAUGGAGGAGCAGUUUAUCACUGCCGUGAGUUAUCACCCGGUCCUGUACGACGUGGGGUGCGCGAUUUACCGGGACCGCACCUCAAAGGAGGAGGCAUGGGCGAAGGUGGCCCAUGAUUUCGGGCUUUCUGGUCGUUUGUUUAUUUAUUUCAGUGAGCAGACUUAUUGAAAACAUAGCAAACUUCCCCUGCUUGCUAGGCUACAUGUUUCAACGUGUGUGUGUGUGUGUGUGUGUGUGUGUGUGUGUGUGUGUGUGUGUGUGUGUGUGUGUGUGUGUGUGUGUGUGUGUGUGUGUGUGUGUGUGUGUGUGUGUGUGUGUGUGUGUCGCAAGCGCUGGAAAGGGCUGCGGGAUGUAUAUAUGAGGGAGAAAAGGAGGGAGAAGGAAGGUGGGAGAAGCGGGUCAGCGGCGACCAGCCGCGUCCAGCUUUGGACCCGUUGUGAACACACCAGAGCGCGACGCGACGUGAUCGACCAACGCGACGCGACCUGUUCGCGUUUAGUCUGAACACCCCUUUACAUCUCUGAGCUAUCCUUCUUGCAGUAAGCAGAUAAGCAGAUGGGUACCUGUCUCCGCUAUGAACCAUGCAAGCUGUACCUGCCUCCACUGUAAACAGUUAACCACCACAAAAGAAAGUGAAACGUCAGCAGUCAUCUUGACAUCAACAGAAGAAUUCUGCACAUGCUUACUCUAGUAUAAUUAUGUAUUAUGAGAGUGCUUACGCUGCUGAACACUGUUUCCCCCACCCUUUAGUGUAUGCAGCAUUGUGUAACUAGGGACCACCCUAAGGAUAAUAAAAAGAGAGGUUGGAUGGGAAUGCUUUAGAAUGGUUUGAGAUUUGUAAUUGUUCGCAUCUCUGGUUUGAGAUUUGUAAUUGUACGCAUCUCUGUCUGUUCUCCUCGCUAGUAAGAAAUCUAAUACCAUUGUCUUUCUCUUCUUUGUGUUUGAGUCAUUUGUUGCAGGUUUUAGACCCAACACCUAUGCAUGAUUGUCUCUCAUUAGAGAUAGUUACUGUAGACUUUCUGUACCUUAAGCUUAUCUGAUGGCGGAAACCACUCAUUCUUAUGUAGUCCUGACUCCAGAGAAGCUAGGGACUGUUCAGAUGCAUGGCCUAUAAAACUGGCAAACUCAAGGGUUAAAUACACAUUUCUUUAUCAAGUAACAACCCUAUUACACAAGAGUCACAACAUUGUGUGCACCUUUGAUUUUUGCAAAUCAUGUAAAGCCAGGAUUUGGAAACAAAAGUGCAAAGACAACGUUUUAAUUUUUAAAACUGGAAAAUACAACUGUUUCUGAAAACUGAGUUGUUCUUUAAAUUUCAACCAUAACAGCUUUUGUCUCUGACUUACAGCGCCAUCCUCUGACAAUAGAGAGAAAUUACUCUGCCUUGUCUGGAUUACAUGGACAUAAAGUUCACCAACAUUAGCUAAUACAACGCCUGAAACUUCUGAAGUGGACUUCAAACUCCCAGUGACUACGCAUCAGAUAUGUACGAUGUUGCAAUGGCAACGGUGCUCACUAUAAAAAUAAAAAG